ensembl:piRNA 21ur-5210 ncRNA
CUAUGCAAUGACACUAUGCAA